AUGUAAGGUAAUAUUUCUAUAAACAGGCAUAAAUUACUCUAAAAGUGAAUCCUACAUAAUUUUACCUUCAAACCAAGCAUCUUGU
rnacentral:pre_miRNA from 1 species